rnacentral:rRNA from 1 species
GGAGGCAGCAGUGGGGAAUCUUCCACAAUGGGCGACAGCCUGAUGGAGCAACGCCGCGUGAGUGAAGAAGGUCUUAGGAUUGUAAAGCUCUGUCCUUAGGGAAGAACCGUGGGUAUAGAAAAUGAUACCCACCUGACGGUACCUUUGGAGGAAGCACUGGCUAACUACGUGCCAGCAGCCGCGGUAAUA